AGGUAGAUGCACCCUGGUUAAGCUCUAGAGUCAAAAUCUAGAGCUUUUUUCU
rnacentral:sRNA from 1 species